rnacentral:rRNA from 1 species
AUUGAACGCUGGCGGCAUGCUUUACACAUGCAAGUCGGACGAGUGGCGGACGGGUGAGUAAUAUAUUGGAACGUACCUAGUAGUGGGGGAUAACCAAUUGAAAGAUUGGCUAAUACCGCAUAUUAUUAGAUGGGCCCAUAUCUGAUUAGCUAGUUGGUGGGGUAAAGGCCUACCAAGGCGACGAUCCGUAGCUGGUCUGAGAGGAUGACCCGCCACACUGGGACUGAGACACGGUCCAGACUCCUACGGGAGGCAGCAGUGGGGAAUUUUGCACAAUGGGCGCAAGCCUGAUCCAGCCAGGCCGCGUGUCUGAAGAAGGCCUUCGGGUUGUAAAGGACUUUUGUUAGGGAAGCGGUACCUAAAGAAUAAGCACCGGCUAACUACGUGCCAGCAGCCGCGGUAAUUC